CUGACAUUGGUUGCUGCUGCUGGGAUUUCUGAGACUCCUCAAACUUUCAUACAACCUUGGGGGUCUCCCAUCCUAAGAUUAACCAAUGCCAGCCCUGCUUAGCUUCCACAGAGAGCCAGCCACUUAGGUUUCCAUUUGCUUUAUUUCAUGGCCUGUUUCAGA
rnacentral:misc_RNA from 1 species